rnacentral:rRNA from 1 species
UACCCGCGGCCCGAGUGGUGCUCAUUAUUAUUGAGCCUAAAGCGUCCGUAGCUGGCCGGGCAAAUCUCCGGGUAAAUCGGGCCGCUCAACUGUCCGAAUUCCGGAGACACUGCUCGGCUUGGGAUCGGGAGAGGGUGAAGGUACUCCCUGGGUAGGGGUAAAAUCCUGUAAUCCGGGGGGGACCACCAGUGGCGAAGGCGUUCACCUAGAACGAAUCCGACAGUGAGGGACGAAGCCCUAGGGCGCAAACGGGAUUAGAUACCCCGGUAGUCUAGGGUGUAAACGCUGCAGACUUGGUGUUGGGGGUCCUGCGUGGGCUGCCAGUGCCGGAGCGAAGGUGUUAAGUCUGCCGCUUGGGGAGUACGGUCGCAAGACUGAAACUUAAAGGAAUUGGCGGGAGAGCACCGCAACGGGAGGAGCGUGCGGUUCAAUUGGAUUCAACGCCGGAAAACUCACCGGGGGCGACGGAGGGAUGAAAGCCAGGCUGAAGACCUUGCCCGAUUCUCCGAGAGGUGGUGCAUGGCCGUCGUCAGUUCGUACCGUAAGGCGUUCUGUUAAGUCAGAUAACGAACGAGACCCUCGCCUUCAGUCGCCACUUCACGAGCGAUCGUGAGAGCACACUGGAGGGAUCGCUGCCGCUAAGGCAGAGGAAGGAGAGGUCUACGGUAGGUCCCGUAUGCCCCGAAUCUCCCGGGCAACACGCGCGCUACAAAGGUGGGGACAAUGGGAUCCGACCCCGAAAGGGGAAGGCAAUCCUGAAACCCCAUCGUAGUCUGGAUCGAGGGCUGUAACUCGCCCUCGUGAAAAUGGAUUCCGUAGUAAUCGCGGGUCAACAUCCCGCGGUGAAUGUGCCCCUGCUCUU